CUUCAGGAAACUUUCUAGAGCUGAACUGAAGUGAAUAAGCAUCUAAUCCAUAGUCUUCUUCAUAAUUGAAUUCCUUUUCAAGGUUCUUUCCAAAUCUGGCUUUGUUGUUGCUGGGAUUGGUAAAAUUUCGGUGACAAGCAAGUCCCAAGUUCCAGAAGACAAAAGAUUGGGAAUACUUAUUGAGAAUGCAGUUGGGAAGAGGCAAAUGAAGGAGAGCAUCUUCAGAGAAGAGAGACACACAUGGAACUUUGUCAGACCUCCAUCUCUGAUUGGGGGGCUCAGAGCUAAAGAAGAGAGAGAAUUGGCUUCUUGGGUCCCUGUUAUUUUGUAUGUAUGUGUCAUGUAUCUGUUCAGAAGUCUUCUAAAGUUUGUGAA